GAUGAACGCUGGCGGCGUGCUUAACACAUGCAAGUCGAACGAAGCACUCUAUUUGAUUUUCUUCGGAAAUGAAGAUUUUGUGACUGAGUGGCGGACGGGUGAGUAACGCGUGGGUAACCUGCCUCAUACAGGGGGAUAACAGUUGGAAACGACUGCUAAUACCGCAUAAGCGCACAGGAUCGCAUGAUCCGGUGUGAAAAACUCCGGUGGUAUGAGAUGGACCCGCGUCUGAUUAGCCAGUUGGCAGGGUAACGGCCUACCAAAGCGACGAUCAGUAGCCGACCUGAGAGGGUGACCGGCCACAUUGGGACUGAGACACGGCCCAAACUCCUACGGGAGGCAGCAGUGGGGAAUAUUGCACAAUGGGGGAAACCCUGAUGCAGCGACGCCGCGUGAGCGAAGAAGUAUUUCGGUAUGUAAAGCUCUAUCAGCAGGGAAGAAGAAUGACGGUACCUGACUAAGAAGCACC
rnacentral:rRNA from 1 species